AUAUACAGGCUCUCCGGUGACACGCAGGCGUUUCUCUGGAGCUCCAUCCUCUUGUUGAGACAGUCCCAAGACCAGUUUUCCACAAGUGGACCUGAGUGUCAUUCCCAGCUCUCUCACUGGCUCUGCACCGGCCUCCUCCAGCAAACACUGGAUCCCCCCGGACCUGUAACUAAACCAGUUAUUUCCUAUGCAAAAGUAAAAGGUUAGAUGCUGGAGCACAGAUGGGAGAAACCGUCAAAGAAAGCUUGUGAACAUGCAGAUGAGGUGGAUGUUUCGAGGGUUUCCAGUCUUCUGCCCCACACAGCGUCUCCCUGCCUGCUCCCUCCCUGCAGAAGGCUCUGGCGCGCCACACCUUGCUCACGCCCACGGAGAGUCCUGGCCCCAGCAUCAAAUGCAGGUCCCAGGCUGCGCAGGGGGCUGCUGCUUCCGGUUUCUCACCGCUCCUGACUUCUCUUUGUAUACUAUUGGCAUCUGCUGAGAAAUGUCCACCAGGGCGCUGGCCACUGCGAGACCUUGAGAGAACCCACAGAGGGAAAGCAUGUUAAGGAACAGCUUGCUUUUAUUUAAAAAAUAAUUAAAAAUUUUUUUCUUUUUACAUUCCCACGGUACAAUAAAUAAAUAAAUACACAGAUGGGAAAGGUCUUACUUUCAAUUUGUCUCCCUCCAUAUUUCCCCCUCCAUCAGAGUAACUGCUUUCAUUAGUUUGCAUAUGUUCUUUCAGUGUUUAUUUGUACAAAUAUAUAACCCCCGCCCCCCGCCCCCCCCAGUAUCUUGCUUUUCAGCAGAUCAACCAAGCAAAGUGCCUGGUGGUGGGAGCAUUUAAAAAAAA